rnacentral:lncRNA from 10 species
AUCAAUUCUGUAAAAAGCUCGGUUAAACUAUUUCCAAUUUUUCCACUUUUUCAUUUCCAAUGGACUGAAAUUAUUUUCAUUGGGACCAAUUCUUUUUCAUUUGAAUUUUAUAUCAGAACUGUGGUUCAUAGAUCGAUUUUUGUCAAUAUCAACUUUCACCAAUGAUAGCUGCUGCCGUGGCAAGUUUCCUUUUGUGGACUUUAUUUCUAUCACCUCCAUUUUCCAGGGUCAAAUUUUGUUCUAAAUUUUGUCGAGAACAUUUGAUUCUUUCGUGAGUUCUACCGGAUAACAACUUAUCUAAUUUAGUAUCUCAGUUUUUUAAUGCAUUGGAUAAAAGACUUUAGAGUUUUUAACUGUUUCUUGGCUUAAACCAUGAGAAAAUUGUGACUAUAUUUAUGAGACAGAGAGGGUGUUGCAGGAGAGAGGAGAGGCAGAGCAGAAAGGCAAUGAGUUUAGCAGCUCUGUUAGGUUGAAUGCACACUGGAGGUCAUGAUGUCCUGGGGAGGAGAAGAGAAACAAGUGGUAGGAUCAAGACACUGUUUUCUGUUCCAGCUCAUUUUGCGAACAAUGUUAUGUCACAGGUCACUUGGCUGUCCUUGGCUCAACUGUGAGUAAGGAGGAGUCCUGCGGAAUGAAAAAUGACUACCCAGAUUUGCCACCAAAAUCCAGCAGGAGUGCCUUAGAAAGCAGGGUAACAUACUCACAGGAUCUGUGGAUCAGGACGUGAACAUCUCUGGAAGCCAUUAUCUACCCCACACCAUCUCUCUAGCACUUAGUACACGGCCUGUACAGAGCAGAUGCUCGGCAAGGAUCUGGAGAAAGAAAGAAUGAAUGAAUAAAUAAACAAAGAAAUCAGGAGCCAGAUGAAGCCUCCCCUUCUUUCCCCCUGAGC